rnacentral:rRNA from 1 species
GCAGUGCAUGCUGGGCGGAGCUGAUCAGCACGCCGCGUGAGGGAUGACGGCCUUCGGGUUGUAAACCUCUUUCAGCACCGACGAAGCGCAAGUGACGGUAGGUGCAGAAGAAGGACCGGCCAACUACGUGCCAGCAGCCGCGGUAAUACGUAGGGUCCGAGCGUUGUCCGGAAUUAUUGGGCGUAAAGGGCUCGUAGGCGGUUUGUCGCGUCGGGAGUGAAAACACCGGGCUUAACUCGGUGCUUGCUUUCGAUACGGGCAGACUUGAGGUAUGCAGGGGAGAACGGAAUUCCUGGUGUAGCGGUGAAAUGCGCAGAUAUCAAGAGGAACACCGGUGGCGAAGGCGGUUCUCUGGGCAUUACCUGACGCUGAGGAGCGAAAGUGUGGGGAGCGAACAGGAUUAGAUACCCUGGUAGUCCACACCGUAAACGUUGGGCGCUAGGUGUGGGAUCCAUUCCACGGGUUCCGUGCCGUAGCUAACGCAUUAAGCGCCCCGCCUGGGGAGUACGGCCGCAAGGCUAAAACUCAAAGGAAUUGACGGGGGCCCGCACAAGCGGCGGAGCAUGCGGAUUAAUUCGAUGCAACGCGAAGAACCUUACCUGGGUUUGACAUACACCGGAAAGUGCCAGAUAUGGUGCCCCUUUUUGUCGGUGUACAGGUGGUGCAUGGCUGUCGUCAGCUCGUGUCGUGAGAUGUUGGGUUAAGUCCCGCAACGAGCGCAACCCUCGUCCUAUGUUGCCAGCACGCCCUUCGGGGUGGUGGGGACUCAUGGGAGACUGCCGGGGUCAACUCGGAGGAAGGUGGGGAUGACGUCAAGUCAUCAUGCCCCUUAUGUCCAGGGCUUCACGCAUGCUACAUGGCCGGUACAGUGGGCUGCGAUCCUGUGAGGGUGAGCGAAUCUCUAAAAGCCGGUCUCAUUCGGAUUGGGGUCUGCAACUCGACCCAUGAAGUCGGAUUCGCUAGUAUCUCAGAUCAGCAACGCUGCCGUCGAAUACGUUCCCGGGCCUUGUACACCACCGCUCGUCACGUCUCGUAAUGUCGGCAAGAUCCGAGACGUUGUCUAUCCCUUGUGGGGGAGCCGUCUAGGUGGGGUCUUGAGAUCGUAACUAAGUUCUACAAGGUAUCCA